AUUGAACGCUGGCGGCAUGCUUUACACAUGCAAGUCGAACGGUAACAGGCCUUCGGGUGCUGACGAGUGGCGAACGGGUGAGUAAUGCAUCGGAACGUACCCAGAGGUGGGGGAUAACGCAGCGAAAGCUGUGCUAAUACCGCAUGUGAUCUGAGGAUGAAAGCGGGGGACCGAGCAGCAAUGUUUGGCCUCGCGCCUUUGGAGCGGCCGAUGUCGGAUUAGCUAGUUGGUGGGGUAAAGGCCUACCAAGGCGACGAUCCGUAGCUGGUCUGAGAGGACGACCAGCCACACUGGGACUGAGACACGGCCCAGACUCCUACGGGAGGCAGCAGUGGGGAAUUUUGGAUAAUGGGCGCAAGCCUGAUCCAGCAAUGCCGCGUGCGGGAAGAAGGCCUUCGGGUUGUAAACCGCUUUUGGCAGGAACGAAACGGUGUCCGCUAAUACCGGGCGCUAAUGACGGUACCUGCAGAAUAAGCACCGGCUAACUACGUG
rnacentral:rRNA from 1 species